rnacentral:rRNA from 1 species
UACAGAGGGUGCGAGCGUUAAUCGGAGUUACUGGGCGUAAAGGGCGCGUAGGCGGUGAGGUAAGUGUGAUGUGAAAGCCCCGGGCUUAACCUGGGAAGUGCAUCGCAGACUGCUUGACUGGAGUAGAUGAGAGGGUGGCGGAAUUUCCGGUGUAGCGGUGAAAUGCGUAGAGAUCGGAAGGAACGUCAAUGGCGAAGGCAGCCACCUGGCAUCAUACUGACGCUGAGGCGCGAAAGCGUGGGGAGCGAACAGG